rnacentral:SRP_RNA from 1 species
GCCUGGCAUGGUGGCUCAUGCCAGUAAUCCGAGCUACCUGGGAGGCUGAGGUGGGAGGAUCUCUUGAGCCCAGGAGUUUGAGGCUGCAGUGAGCUAUGAUGACACCACUGCACUCCAGCCUGGGCAACAGAGUGAGACCCCAUCUCUA